AUUGAACGCUGGCGGCAGGCCUAACACAUGCAAGUCGAGCGGAUGAAGGGAGCUUGCUCCUGGAUUCAGCGGCGGACGGGUGAGUAAUGCCUAGGAAUCUGCCUCGUAGUGGGGGAUAACGUCCGGAAACGGGCGCUAAUACCGCAUACGUCCUGUGGGAGAAGGUUGGGGUUCUUCUGACCUCACGCUAUCCGUUGCGCCUAGGUCGGCUUAGCUAGUUGUUGGGGUAAAGGCCUACCAAGGCGACGAUCCGUAACUGGUCUGAGAGGAUGAUCAGUCACACUGGAACUGAGAAACGGUCCAGACUCCUCCGGGAGGAAGAAGUGGGGAAUAUUGGAAAAUGGGCGAAAGCCUGAUCAAGACAUGCCGCGUGUUUGAAGAAGGUCUUCGGAUUGUAAAGCACUUUAAGUUGGGAGGAAGGGCAGUAAGUUAAUACCUUGCUGUUUUGACGUUACCAACAGAAUAAGCACCGGCUAACUUCGUG
rnacentral:rRNA from 1 species